UGCCAGCCGCCGCGGUAAUACGAACUGUGCAAACGUUAUUCGGAAUCACUGGGCUUAAAGGGUGCGUAGGCGGGCAGGUAGGUCAGAUGUGAAAGCCCACGGCUCAACCGUGGAAUUGCGUUUGAAACCACUUGUCUUGAGGGGAUCAGAGGAGAGCGGAACUGAUGGUGGAGCGGUGAAAUGCGUUGAUAUUAUCAGGAACACCGGUGGCGAAAGCGGCUCUCUGGUCUGAUACUGACGCUGAGGUGCGAAAGCUAGGGGAGCAAACGGGAUUAGAUA
rnacentral:rRNA from 1 species